rnacentral:piRNA from 1 species
UGGGACAUACUGCCUGAUCUCCUGUG